rnacentral:rRNA from 1 species
AGAGUUUGAUCAUGGCUCAGGACAAACGCUGGCGGGGUGCGUGAGACAUGCAAGUCGAACGAGGUGCCACCGGGCUUGCUCGGUGGUUACCUAGUGGCGGACGGCUGAGUAACGCGUAGGUGACCUACCCGGAAGUGGGGAAUAACUGCCCGAAAGGGUGGCUAAUACCGCAUGUGGUCGGCGAUUCGAUUCGCCGUCUAAAGGAGUAAUCCGCUUCCGGCGGGGCCUGCGUCCGAUUAGCUAGUUGGUGAGGUAACGGCCCACCAAGGCGACGAUCAGUAGCUGGUCUGAGAGGAUGAUCAGCCAGACUGGGACUGAGAACGGCCCAGACUCCUACGGGAGGCAGCAGUCGGGAAUUUUGCGCAAUGGGCGAAAGCCUGACGCAGCAACACCGUGUGGGCGACGAAGGCCUUCGGGUCGUAAAGCCCUGUUGUUGGGGACGAAGGACGAAGGGUUAAUAGCCCCUAGUCUGACGGUACCCUUCGAGGAAGCCCCGGCUAACUACGUGCCAGCAGCCGCGGUAAUACGUAGGGGGCGAGCGUUGUCCGAAGUUACUGGGCGUAAAGCGCGCGUAGGCGGGUCUUUAAGUCUGGUGUGAAAGGUUGAGGGCUCAACCCCCAACAGUGCACUGGAUACUGAAGACCUUGAGUUGGGCAGAGGAGAGUGGAAUUCCUGGUGUAGCGGUGAAAUGCGUAGAUAUCAGGAGGAACACCGAUGGCGAAGGCAGCUCUCUGGGCCCUAACUGACGCUGAGGUGCGAAAGCGUGGGGAGCGAACGGGAUUAGAUACCCCCGUAGUCC